UCAACUGCCUCUAAUGACCAUCAACGGUCUCUGAUGUCAUCAACUGCCUCUAAUGACCAUCAGCUGUCUCUAAUGACCAUCAGCAGGCUCUUAAAUACCCCAACCCUAAGGCCCAGCUCCUCUUUUAGCAGGAGGGAUGAGGGCAGGGAGAGGUGCUGGCCAGGGGCAUUCUGCCCUGGUGGGGCUCUCUGGGUGCCUGUAGGAAUUCCAGCAGGAGAUGCAGGGAUGUUUUGGGUUUGGGAAGCCCCAGGCCCUCUGGAACACCUCUGGGUGCUGACUGUGCUCCUGUAAUAAGGAUAAAAAUAGGACACAAAGUGCAUGGAAAGGAUAAAAUACAGGUGAAAAGUUUAGGUGUGGCUCAGAGUCAGCUCUGAGUGGCUCCUGGCAGUGCUGCUCCAACCCUGCAGCCUGGAGCUGCUGCUUUCCAUGACACAAACCACCAGGAGACAACAGAUUUGGGAGCUGUUGUGCCUGCAGGAGGCUCUGAGUGGGAGGAGAGUGGCUCCAGCACAAGCCCAUGGACCGAAAAAUGCCUUAUUAUUUCUAGAAGUUUAGAGAAAGGAAGAGUGUUUUCAAUCCGAGUUAGAAGUAACACUGGAUGAUUUCAAGCAACUGCUUUCUCAGGUUAUUGUUCAUUGUGAGAUGUGAGGCAAAAGAAGGCAUUUCCCUGCUUUUCCUUGGUUGAGUUCCCUGUCCACUGCUGACAGCCCUGCUGGAACAGAUGUGUGUUUGCCAACAGAGGCAGGAAAAGGAUGGCUGUGCUAAGGGGAAGGGACAGGGAACACAUAUCUCUGCCUCAUGAAGUGACCUCAGGUUCUUGCUGCUGCUGCAAAGCACAGAGAGAAAAUCCCCUCUCGAGCUCGUGGGUGAAAAUGCACCAGAGUCGAUAAAAAUGACCCCUAUAAAUCCAGAAAUGUGACCCAAUAAAUCCAAAGUGGGAUUUUC